GUGUUUGGUGUAGUUUUAUGAAAAUGCACCACAAAACUAAAACCUACAAGAAGAAGAUUCCCUAGUAGAAUCCCUCCAACUACCAUCAUCCCAUGUACAUUGGAUCUACCAUCUGAUUCAUCCAAUCUUCAAAUCUAUCAAACUCCAGAAAGAAAUUCAUAAUUUCUCAAACCAAUUACACAUCAUACCAAUGAAGAUUCAAAUUAAUAAUAUGUCAAUAAAAAUUACUUCAGUAAUUAAAACCUUAUAACUGAUCAACCAUCAUAAGGAAAAGCAGCUCUUGAAUUUUGUUGCAAACUUUUCUGCACAAAAGUCUUCCUCCACUCUAUCUCCUUCACUUUUCCAGAUUUCUCUCACCCAAAAACUUAUCAAGACCCACUCUUGGUAUAGAUUUUCUACCUCUCCAU
rnacentral:lncRNA from 1 species